UGAUCCUGGCUCAGGACGAACGCUGGCGGCGUGCCUAACACAUGCAAGUCGAACGAAGCUUUGAGGAGCUUGCUUUUUAAAGCUUAGUGGCGGACGGGUGAGUAACGCGUGAGCAACCUGCCUCUCAGAGGGGGAUAACGUUUUGAAAAGAACGCUAAUACCGCAUAAUAUAUCGGAACCGCAUGAUUCUGAUAUCAAAGGAGCAAUCCGCUGAGAGAUGGGCUCGCGUCCGAUUAGUUAGUUGGUGAGGUAACGGCUCACCAAGACUACGAUCGGUAGCCGGACUGAGAGGUUGAUCGGCCACAUUGGGACUGAGACACGGCCCAGACUCCUACGGGAGGCAGCAGUGGGGGAUAUUGCGCAAUGGGGGAAACCCUGACGCAGCAACGCCGCGUGAAGGAAGAAGGUCUUCGGAUUGUAAACUUCUUUUGUCAGGGACGAAGAAAGUGACGGUACCUGACGAAUAAGCUCCGGCUAACUACGUGCCAGCAGCCGCGGUAAUACGUAGGGAGCGAGCGUUGUCCGGAUUUACUGGGUGUAAAGGGUGCGUAGGCGGCCGAGCAAGUCAGUUGUGAAAACUAUGGGCUUAACCCAUAACGUGCAAUUGAAACUGUCCGGCUUGAGUGAAGUAGAGGUAGGCGGAAUUCCCGGUGUAGCGGUGAAAUGCGUAGAGAUCGGGAGGAACACCAGUGGCGAAGGCGGCCUACUGGGCUUUAACUGACGCUGAGGCACGAAAGCAUGGGUAGCAAACAGGAUUAGAUACCCUGGUAGUCCAUGCCGUAAACGAUGAUUACUAGGUGUGGGGGGACUGACCCCUUCCGUGCCGCAGUUAACACAAUAAGUAAUCCACCUGGGGAGUACGGCCGCAAGGUUGAAACUCAAAGGAAUUGACGGGGGCCCGCACAAGCAGUGGAGUAUGUGGUUUAAUUCGA
rnacentral:rRNA from 1 species